rnacentral:lncRNA from 1 species
AGGAUUCAUGGAAGGAGGGGGAGCAGAGGAAACCAGUGACAGUGGCGAGGGUUUUCUUGUCUUCCUGCUGAUAAUUUUUUGGGUUUUCUUAAUUUUCUUAGAACUUAAUNUAGUAUAGUGUAAUUCCUCUAUGCAGGCCNAAAGGAGAAGGCAAAGGUUCAAUNAGGUAUGCACAAUUUCCAACAAGUAAAAUGUUUUAAUGUUUUAACCACCCUUAUCACCAAAGCAAGAACAAGGGCAUAUUAUACAUACACUAGAACCAGGAACCGAUAUAUUGGGUGGAGGCUAAUGUCUUUUAUUAGCAGUUGNCAUCUGUUAGAUGAAUUUCAUUCACACCUGUUUUCUUACAAUUGUACUAAGAAUGACUUUGACAAGUAAUGGUUGGGCAANAAACCCACAAGGCUUUAACUUAUAUAAGGGUAUAAUUACUUUUUAAGUGGUUGNUGCAUGUCUGUUAAUGUGAUCAGUCUCCUUUUACUCUUUGUGUGUAGCUCAUGGAGUGUCUUAUUCCAGUUGAGGAGAAGAGUAAAGCAAGAGGAAUGCUUUGGCGAGUGAAUUCAGCCCAGUGGUGAUGUAAUAUGUUGCUAGUUCUGAUGGACUAGUUUUGAAGUCCUAAUGUAGAUACCAAACAAAUUAUGCAUGAUAGUGUUAAAGGGUAAAUAUGAAACAGAGAGGAAAAGAUUUGAAAGGUUAAUUUAUACACACAUAGCUUUGCUGAUUAUNUUACAGGAUUAUUCGAAGUUACAUUGCUGCAUAGAGAAAAUGGUUGCAGCCAAGUAAUAUUUNACUAAUUUGAUUGAAGCUGAAGCUGAAGCCAAGUAAUGUUUUAACAUAUUUAGGGGAUGGGAAUUGAAAUUAGAAUGUAUUAGUAAUGUUCGAUGCUCUGGUUUUUCAUGUUUUAGGGAGGAAACUAUCAGUUUUUAAUUAUUAUGUGGAACAUGCUCUGGAAUAUGGAUCUGAUUUCGGAAAAAUUCAUGUUGAAAUAGUUUUUUAUGUUGUAUAGUUCUUUUAUCCUAAAAUGAAAUAAUUAG